rnacentral:rRNA from 1 species
GACAGAGGAUGCAAGCGUUAUCCGGAAUGAUUGGGCGUAAAGCGUCUGUAGGUGGCUUUUUAAGUCUGCCGUCAAAUCCCAGGGCUUAACCCUGGACAGGCGGUGGAAACUACCAAGCUGGAGUACGGUAGGGGCAGGGGGAAUUUCCGGUGGAGCGGUGAAAUGCGCAGAUAUCAGGAAGAACACCCGUGGCGAAGGCGGCUCUCUGGGACGGUACUGACGCUGAGACGCGAAAGCGUGGGGAGCGAACAGG